rnacentral:rRNA from 1 species
CAGAGGUCCCAAGCGUUGCUCGGAUUCACUGGGCGUAAAGGGUGCGUAGGUGGUCAGGUAAGUCGGAUGUGAAAUCUCCGAGCUCAACUCGGAAACUGCAUUGGAAACUACCUGGCUCGAGGGUUGGAGGGGGGACUGGAAUGCUUGGUGUAGCAGUGAAAUGCGUAGAUAUCAAGCGGAACACCAGUGGCGAAGGCGAGUCCCUGGACAACUCCUGACACUGAUGCACGAAAGCUAGGGGAGCAAACAGGAUUAGAUACCCUGGUAGUCCUAGCCGUAAACGGUGCACGUUUGCUGUAAAAGGAAUCGACCCUUUUGUGGCGUAGCCAACGCGUUAAACGUGCCGCCUGGGAAGUACGGUCGCAAGAUUA